GUUUGAUCCUGGCUCAGGAUGAACGCUAGCGGCAGGCUUAACACAUGCAAGUCGAGGGGUAAGGCUUUCUUCGGAAAGUACACGACCGGCGCACGGGUGAGUAACGCGUAUGCAACCUGCCUCUUACAGGAGGAUAGCCCGAGGAAACUCGGAUCAAUACUCCAUAGUCCAUAAAUAUCGCAUGAUAUUAAUGGUAAAGCUCCGGCGGUAAGAGAUGGGCAUGCGUGACAUUAGCUAGUUGGUGAGGUAACGGCUCACCAAGGCGRCGAUGUCUAGGGGUUCUGAAAGGAUGAUCCCCCACACUGGKACUGAGACASGGACCAGACUCCUGACGGGAGGCAGCAGUGAGGAAUAUUGCGCAAUGGAGGCAACUCUGACGCAGCCAUGCCGCGUGCAGGGAAGACGGCCCUACGGGUUGUAAACUGCUUUUUUCAGCUAAGAAUUGUUGGUACGUGUACUGGGUUUGACUAGCUUUAGAAUAAGCAUCGGCUAACUCCGKGCCAGCAGCCGCGGUAAUACGGAGGAUGCAAGCGUUAUCCGGAUUCACUAGGUUUAAAGGGUGCGUAGGCGGAUUGAUUAGUCAGKGGKGAAAUCUUGCGGCUUAACCSUAAAAUUGCCAUUGAUACUGUCAAUCUUGAGUUCGGCUGAGGUAAGCGGAAUGAGUAAUGUAGCGGUGAAAUCCUUAGAUAUUACUCAGAACACCAAUUGCGAAGGCAGCUUACUAGACCGACACUGACGCUGAGGCACGAAACCGUGGGGAGCCAACAGGAUUAGAUACCCUGGUAGUCCACGCCGUAAACGUUGAUUACUCGUUGUUGGCAAUACAUCGUCASCGACUGAGCGAAAGCAUUAAGUAAUCCACCUGGGGAGUACGUCAGCAAUGAUGAAACUCAAAGGAAUUGACGGGGGGCCCCACAAGCGGAGGAACAUGUGGUUUAAUUCGAUGAUACGCGAGGAACCUUACCUGGGCUUAAAUGUAGAGUGCAUGAAGUGGAAACAUUUCUUYCUUCGGGACUCUUUASAAGGUGCUGCAUGGUUGUCGUCAGCUCGUGCCGUGAGGUGUCGGGUUAAGUCCCAUAACGAGCGCAACCCUCAUCGUCAGUUACCAUCACUUCGGGUGGGGACUCUGGCGAAACUGCSGGUGCAAACCGCGAGGAAGGUGAGGAUGACGUCAAAUCAGCACGGCCCUUAUGUCCAGGGCUACACACGUGUUACAAUGGCCGGUACAGUGGGCAGCUACACAGCGAUGUGAUGCUAAUCUCCAAAACCGGUCCUAGUUCGGAUCGGAGUCUGCAACUCGACUCCGUGAAGCUGGAUYCGCUAGUAAUCGCACAUCAGCCAUGGUGCGGUGAAUACGUUCCCGGGCCUUGUACACACCGCCCGUCAAGCCAUGGAAGCUGGGGGUACCUGAAGUUCGUGAUCUACGGGAAGCGGCCUAGGGUAAAACUGGUAACUGGGGCUAAGUCGUAACAAGGUAGCCG
rnacentral:rRNA from 1 species